rnacentral:lncRNA from 1 species
UUACAGACAGUUCGGAGAAACUUAAAUGAGUCCGUUUUACGCCGAGAAAGAAACAGACAAUAUCGUUAUUAAACAUAAUAAUUAUAACUGUUAUUAUAAUAACAAUAAUAGUAAUAAAAUUAUUAUCAUUAUUGUUAUCAUAAUCGUGCCGUAAGAAAAGGAACUAAAGUGGCAGGAAGUAACCAAGUAAGAGGAUUUUUUUCAUAUAUAUAUUUAUGUCUAUACAUGCACAAAUAUGCACACACACAUACAUACAUGCACACACCGGGUGAACUGGAUCUCUUUCACUAUGUAUUUUGAUAUAAUCACGCAUUUCACGAAUAUACGAGUGCAUAACGUUUUUCCAUUUAUGGAUUCUUGGACAAUAUACGGAUGUGUGUGUGUGUGUGUGUGUGUGUGUGUGUGUGUGUGUGUGUGUACAUAUCUCUUUUAGUCUUUUACUUGUUUUCAGUCAUUUGACUGCGGCCAUGCUGGAGCACCGCCUUUAGUCGUGCAAAUCGACCCCAGGACUUAUUCUUUGUAAGCCUUGUAAUUAUUCUAUCGGUCUCUUUUGCCGAACCGCUCAGUUACGUGAACGUAAACACACCACCAUCGGUUGUCAAGCGAUGUUGGGGGACAAUCACAAACACAUAAAUGCACACACACACACACACACACACACAUAUAUAUAUAUAUAUGACAGGCUUCUUCCAGUUUCCGUCUACCAAAUCCACUCACAAGGCUUUGGUCGGCCCGAGGCUAUAGUAGAAGACACUUGCCCAAGGUGCCAUGCAGUGAGAAUGAACCCGGAAGCAUGUGGUUGGUAAGCAAGCUACUUACCACACAGCCACUCCUGCGCCUAUGUACAUAUAUAUGUGAAUGCAUAUGUAUAUAUGUACAUAAUAUCUAUGAAUAUAUGUAAAUAUACAUACAUGCAUACAUAUAUACGUACAUACACAUAUACACAUACAUUUAUACAUAAUACAUGCACACGUACAUACAUACAUACAUACAUACAUACAUACAUACAUACAUACAUACAUACAUACAUAAAUGAUAAAAUGUAUGGUAAAUAAACAAACGACUUAAAGUAUCCUGAGUGAAUAAACCGGACGGGAGACAGACACAGAUGGUCCCUUAUUCUUCAGUUAACAACCAAUUCGUGCGGUUGUACACUUAGCGUACAUUAUGACGGUUGUUUACUUACCAUACAUUUUUCAUUUAUUAAGUAACGGAACGCAACACACACCGAAUUUGUACAUACAUACAUACAUGCAUGCAUACAUAGAUACAUACAUACAUACAUACAUACAUGCAUACAUACACACAUACACACAUUUAUAUAUACAUACCUACGUACGUUAAUGCAGACAAUCGGAGGCGCAAUGGCCCAGUGGUUAGGGCAGCGGACUCGCGGUCAUAGGAUCGCGGUUUCGAUUCCCAGACCGGGCGUUGUGAGUGUUUAUUGAGCGAAAACACCUAUAGCUCCACGAGGCUCCGGCAGGGGAUGGUGGUGAUCCCUGCUGUACUCUUUCACCACAACUUUCUCUCACUCUUACUUCCUGUUUCUGUUGUACCUGUAUUUCAAAGGGCCGGCCUUGUGUCACGCUGAAUAUCCCCAAGAACUACGUUAAGGGUACACGUGUCUGUGGAGUGCUCAGCCACUUACACGUUAAUUUCACGAGCAGGCUGUUCCGUUGAUUCGGAUCAACCGGAACCCUCGUCGUCGUAACCGACGGAGUGCUUCCAUCCAAUGCAUACAAUCGUUUCGAACAGCGAUAUUAAAAUCAUGCAAAUUCAUGGUUGAAUAAAAAUAAUUGAAUUAGUUCAAUUAAUUUAAUUAUAUAUUACUGUGCUUAUCAAUGCGAGACGUAUAAACAAUUUUUUUUUUUUUACAAUGGACUUGAUAAAGGAAGUAGCAGAGUAAGAUUUUGGAGAUUCAUAUUUAUUCUUAUGAGACAGAAUGAAGAGGUGUGAAUACGGGAUACCUUUCCAUAAAUUCGCAACACACCAUAUACAAGUAUUCUUUUCAUAUUCGCAAACUUACACCAGUAAGCUACCAGCAAAAUAUGAAGACUCUAUAUUAGAAAUUUUUUUUGGAAUCCUUCAGAUUAAAGGACGAAAUUUAAUCCAACCUUUUUACACACACACACACACACACACACACACACACACACACACACACACACACACACACACACACGCACACACAUAAACUGAAUAAACAGAGUCAAUAGGAAGGAGUACGUUUAGAUAGCUAUUUAAUAAACACUACACACGUUUCGAUACAACAUAGAUCCACAUAUACACAGGAUUUAAAUUAAUAAACGGUUUACCUGUAUAAUGGGACCAGUUGUAUCUCCUCAGGUGACAUAUAAUGUGUUAGCUUCAAAGUCAAAGAUUUAGUUACGGGGACAACGAUUACAUCCUGAGGAGAUGCAACUGGAUGCCGUUAUACAGGUAAACCGUUGCUUAAUUCAAAUCCUGUGUAUAUGUGGAUCUAUGUUAGUAUCGAAACUUGUGUAGUGUUUAAAUAGCUGUCUCAACGUACUUCUUCCUGUUCACUCUAUUUAUUCGAUGUUUAUUUUUCACACACGAUGAAUGCCUAAGCCUAGACUUCGAACACUACCGGUUAUUUAGUAAUUCUAAGGGUGAACGAACUCUAUUUUGUACUCUAAUACGUUCCUAACAGAAUACACUUUAAAUAUAUAUAUCAAAAUGUAACCACAUGUGGAUCGUUGGAGAUCUUUUCCCUCCCGUUUUCCUUUUCUCUUGGACUUUCUUCCGUCUCCUGUUUCUGACGAAUGGCUUUGCUCGAAAUGUAAAACUACUUUACUUUCCUUCCCUGAGCGACUGCUAAUACUUUGCAUGUGCCACGUCCUCGCGUUGUUAUUUUUUUCCCUUGUGUUUGCUCUUCGUUUUGUUUGAAGAUUUACUAUAUCUAUCUAUCUAUCUAUCUAUCUAUCUAUCUAUCUAUCUAUCUAUCUAUCUAUCUAUCUAUCUAUCUAUCUAUCUAUCUAUCUAUCUCUCUCUCUCUCUCUCUCUCUCUCUCUCUCUAUAUAUAUAUAUAUAUAUAUAUAUAUAUAUAUAUAUGCAUAUACAUACAUACAUAUAUACAUGCAUACAGACACACACACACACAAAUAUAUAUAUAUAUAUAUUACAUUUAUUUAUUUGUUUGUUUGUUUGGAUGUAUGUGUAUGUAUGCAUGCAUGUGUGUAUGUGUGUAAAAAUAAACGUCUCUUAGUUUAAGAACAUUAAAAACCCAUCUAUUACAAUUUUCAUAUGACGUUGUACUCUAAGAUUAACAAAUUAAUCAUUAUUGGAAUAUAUGAUCGCAAAUUAGAAGAAUCGUUAGGUUGUCUGAUAUAUCAUCCCGCGCGACAUACUCUUUCUGGCUGUUCGAGUCUGAGUUCCGAUCCCAUUGAGGUCGACUUUGACUUAUAAUUUUUUUAGGGUCAAUGAAAUACAAGCCAAGGACAGUCGAACUGUGGUAAUAAUAAUGAAAAAAAAAAAGUAUCAGACGAGAGGCAUUGCAAUAUCCCUUCUGGUUCUUUGCUGUUCUGAUUGCAGUGGCUCCGACGACACGUGCAUGCCACAUACAUACAUACAUACAUACAUACAUACAUACAUACAUACAUACAUACAUACAUACAUAGAUGCAUACAUACAUACAUACAUACAUACAUACAUACAUACAUACAUACAUACAUACAUACAUACAUACAUACAUACAUACAUAGAUGCAUACAUACAUACAUACAUACAUACAUACAUACAUACAUACAUACAUACAUACAUACAUACAUACAUACAUACAUACAUACAUACAUACAUGCCUACACACAUGCAUACAUACAUACAUACAUACAUACAUAUAUACAUACAUACAUACAUGCAUACAUACAUACAUAGAUGCGUACAUACAUACACACAUACAUACAUACAUAAAUACAUACAUACAUACAUGCAUACAUACAUAAAUACAUACAUACAUACAUACAUACAUACAUACAUACAUACAUACAUACAUACAUACAUACAUACAUACAUACAAUAAAUACAUGCAUGCAUAUUUAUCUACUAUGAAUUUUUUAAAUUUUGAACUCUCAUCCAACAUAUUGUAUGAAUAUGAAAUUGUUAAUCGAUUCGAACAAUUCUUUAUGGAAUCCUUUACCUUGAAUUUUUAUCUCUUUAUUUGUCACUCUUGCAUUCGGUACCUGAACCCAACGUACAUGAUGCAUAGUUUUCAAAUAUGACAUUUAAGGGUAGUUUUGUUCACUGAUUUAUAAAUUUAUAUAUUUAGUUCGUUGUGUGUUUAAAAUUAUGCUUUGGAACUUGUAUUGAUUGCCUGGAUGUUCCUUCUAUAAUUUCCUAAUUCUUUACUACCCACAAGGGGCUAAACACAGAGGGGACAAACACGGACAGACAAAUGGAUUAAGUGCGUAACUGGUACUUAAUUUGUCGACCCCGAAAGGAUGAAAGGCAAAGUCGACCUGGGCGGAAUUUGAACUCAGAACGUAACGGCAGACGAAAUACGGCUACGCAUUUCACCCGGCGUGCUAACGAUUCUGCCAGCUCGCCCUAUAGUUUCCCUUAUCCUACAUACAUACAUACAUGCGUGCAUGCAUGCAUAUAUGUAUGUGUAUAUGUAUGUGUAUAUGUAUGCAUGGAUGCAUACAUGCAUGGAUGCAUACAUGCAUAUAGUGACAUCGGCGACACAUGUGUAUGCUACAUACAUGCAUAUAUACAUGUGUGCCUACAUACAUACAUAUAUACAUGUGUGCAUGCAUGUAUGCAUGUAUGUAUGUAAGCAUAGAUGCAUGUAUGAAUGUAUGUAUACAUACAUAUGUAUUGUAUAUAUAUGUGUGUGUGUGUGUGUGUGCGAAUAUGUGUCUUUGUCGUUGUGUUUGUCAUCCACACCACUUCAUAACGGGUGUUGUUUUGUUUACAUCACCAUACAUUAGCGGUUCGGUAUAACAGACUGAUAGAAUAAAUAUCAAAUUUCGAAAAAACAAAAAAGCACGAAUACUGGGAAACUUUUCGAGUAAAACCUUUGAAGGUAGUGCCCCAGCAUGGUCACAGUCCAGUAAUCAUACUGUAUUGGUCCUUAAUCUAGCUCUUGGACAAUAUCCAUGAGGUGGAAUGACAGGUAUGCAUUCCUGAAAAACUCCUGAUUUAGUCUGAAGAAGCAUUAUUUAGGUUUGUACGUUGGUGAAAAACUUCCAAAGUACAGAACCUUCGACUCUAAAGACAGGAAGGCCCCGAAAGAUCUGAUGUGAUAGAUAAAGGUAAAAGUAUUUGAAUAAUAACAGAAACCUUUCUAAACGGUUGAUGUUGGAGGCUCAAAUAUGUUUCUUUAUUGACCAUACUGGGCUGAACACAGAGGGGACAAAAUAGAGCUUUUCUUUUUGGGAAGAAAAAAAAAAGUGGGUCGAAUUCCGAUCAAAAAUGAUCGUGGAAAAAAAUAGGGGGCCGAUCAAUAGGGCUCGUGUAUCACAGAAAUGUCAUGAUGUAAAAGGGAAACAGAUUAGGUUUAUCAGUGGAAAGAAAAGCCUACGGAAAAGACCACGGUAACCUUGGGCAAUAAUGUCAUGCAAAAAAAAAAUACAUUACAGUAAGUGACUCUUUUUUCCUUUCUUUUUUUUUGGUUCAUAAGAUUAUGCUCAAGCUGGCUCCGUCAUUCACACGUGGCAUCCUUGCUACGUUCACCCAUCAUUUUUUGAAACAUUUACUAGACAAAACUUCUCUCUCUACUCUCACCUUCCUCUUCAAGUGAGUAACCCUCUAUUUUAAAUUUUUCCGGGUUCAUAGGAUUAUGUUCAAGGUGGCUCCGUCAUUCAUACAUGUCAUCCUUGCUACAUCCAUCCAUCUUUUUUUGAAAUAUUCUCUAGACAAAAUUUUCCUCUCUACUCUCACCUUCCUCUUCAAGUAAUACUUGAAGAAGUUGAUGAGAGAUUUACCAGAGAGGAAAGUGUUUGUUUCUAGACCUUUCAGACGCGUCCACCAUGUGUACAAUGUGUACAAAUAAUACGGAAAAAAUAAAUGAAUAGAUACCAGGGUAGUAAAAAUUUCACGUAAGUACCAAGAAUGUUAUAGCCCACUUAAAACGUAGGGUUUAGUGAAAUGUGUUUCUAUUACAAAUAAAUAAAGAAAUGAAGUUAAAGGCAGGUGUUAUUCAAAUCUUUAUACUUUUCUGACAUAUGUUUCGAAGAAAACAUUGGUAUUAUUCUGGAGGGAAUAAAAUGAUGUAAAACAUUACGAUUUUCUCAUCAGCAAAGGAAAAGUCAUUUUAACCGAAUGUGAUGACUGCGUAUAUGUAUGUAUGUAUGUAUGUAUGUAUGUAUGUAUGUAUGUAUGUAUGUAUGUAUGUAUGUAUGUAUGUAUGUAUGUAUGUAUGUAUGUAUGUAUCUAUCUAUCUAUCUAUCUAUCUAUCUAUCUAUCUAUCUAUCUAUCUAUCUAUCUAUUUAUCUAUCUAUCUGUGUGUACGCACGCCGCUAUAUGUAUAUAUAAAUAUAAAAAAUGGAACAAAAGCGCAGUAGAGGACAAUAAAACAUUCGGACAGAUAGACGUAUUUACUGUCCGAAUGUUUUAUUGUCCCCUUUUGCGUUUUUGUUCCAUUUUACAUAUAUCUGUUGUACCUGUAUUUCAUACGGCCAGCCUUGUCACACUCUGUGUCACGCCGAAUCUCUCCAAGAACUACAUUAAAGGUACAUGUGUCUGUGGAGUGCAGGCUGUUCCGUUGAUUGGAUCAACAGGAACUCACGUUGCCGUAGCCGACAGAGUGCCGUAGUAAUAUAUAUAUAUAUAUAUAUAUAUAUAUAUAUAUAUAUAUAUAUAUAUAUAUAUAUGUAUAUAUAUAUAUGUAUGUAUAUAAAAUGUACAUCUAAUAUAGGAUAAAAUUUUUCGAAAAAAAUUCUAUUAAUGGCCAGCAUAUUAAAAAAUACCUUUAAAGGUUAAACUUAUAAACAACUAAUAAACAAGGGCAAAAGAAAAAUUCUAAUGCAAAAUGUGCCGAAAUUAGACAAAUCGUCAAUAACCAUAUAAUUUAUCACUAUAAGAACGCGUCUCGAAGUAAGCCGACAGAAAUUUCUAAAAAAUUCCAUUAUUAUCGUAUCGGUCCCAAUUUCAGAGUUAAUUCAUAAGAAUUUCCUCCUUCAUAAGAAUUUUGCCCUUGUUUAUAAGUUCUUUAUAAGUUUAACCUUUAGAGGUAUUUUUUAAUAUACUGGUCAUUGAUACAAUUUUUUAAGAAAAAUUUUAUCCUAUAUUAGAUGUAAAUUUAACAGUGUUCACUUCCGGACUCUCUCACUCUAUGAGAGGUGUGCAGGAGAAUUUCUAUUUUGGAUAUAUUUGGGGUACUUAAUUGUGCUCAUGACUUAGUGUUUGCUUCUUUCAAGGGUAUAAGUAAGUAUUUCAUUUAUUUCUUACCGCAUUUAUCGCUGACGAGGAGAAAAUUCUUAUGAAUUAACUCAGAAAUUGGGACCGAUACGAUAAUAACGGAAUUUUUUUACAGUAAACAGUCUGCUCAAUACCACAGAUUUGCUUGUCAGUUGUUUGACCUUAACCAGUUGAGCAUGUCUCUUAGUGGCUGACUAUAAGUGCAUCACUGAUCACGAGCAGAAGUAGUGGGGAGGCAUCAUAGUCAUAUGUUGAGAGGAAUUCUUUAGGAUUUGACUAAUUCACCUUUGGAAACAUUGGUGUUUCGUUUAUCAUCCUUAAACAAACCUUAUUCAAGGACCUUUUGAGCAGGAUGGGCUACUUAACCCCUUACCCGGCAGAAACGAAUAUAUGCGUUUUGACCGAAAUCGCUUUUUUCUAUCUCUGGCGAGUUAACUCGUCAAAAGAUAGACUCUCCAAAAUCGACAGCAAAUGAGUUCCUUCGUCUAAAAACGGGUUAACUUGUUUCUGCCCAAAGCGGUAAUUUAAAAUCAAUAUUAUUGAAUUAAAAUUCAUAAUAAAUAAGGUUUGAAAUAUACCUCGAAAUCACCAUUCAAAACAUAGUAAAAUAAAACAAUUAAAAAAUAUGUCUGAAAAAAUACAUUUAUUUUCAAAAUAAUUGUUGGGUAAGGGGUUAACCUGAAGAAAAUUCUAACUGGGUCUCCACCUGUGAAUCAUGCGCUGUUUACCUUGAUAUAAGAUCACUUUGUAGCGCACAUAUGGUUGUGAUAUAAGUGCCUGGUGUACCCUUAUCAGACGUAGUCAUGAUGGGUAUAUUGGGCUUCGUAUAUUUGUACCCUAGUGCCACUUUGAUGGUAUGCGCUGCUCUCUCACUCAAUAAUAAUAAUAAUAAUAAUAAUAAUAAUAAUAAUAAUAAUAAUAAUAAUAAUAAUAAUGAUAAUAAUAAUGAUAAUAAAAAUAAUAGGUUAUUCAGAGUAGAUCAGAAGAGAUUCUAUAAAGAAAUAAAUGGAUAGUGUACCGAUAAAAAGUUGAUACCAGAUAACAAUGAAAGUCAAAGGUUUUGGAGUGACAUCUGGAGCAAAGACAAAGAGCAGAAGAAGGAUGCUGAGUGGUUGCAAGAACUGAAACAAACAGUAGUCUGUCCAAACCAGGCAGAACUAGUCAUUUCAGUUAGAGACGUGAAGGCAAAAACAGAGAAAAAAAAUGGGUAACUGGAAGGCUCCGAGACUAGAUGGAAUUGAAAGCUACUGAAUCAAAAGAUUUGGUGAAUGUCAUGCACGAAUAGAUGCACAACUCAACACCUUGUUAAAUGCCGACCAAGUAACAUCAGAGUGGUUGACAUUGGGUAAUACAGUGCUGUGCCGAAAAACAUCGAAAAAGGCAAUUCGGUAGAAAAUUACCGGCCGAUAUCCUGUUUGCCACUUAUGUGGAAAUUAUCGACUGGAAUACUCGCAGAAUCAAUGUACGAACAUCUGGAACAUCUGCCACAUGAGCAGAAGGGUUGCAAGCGUAAGUUCAGAGGUACCAAGGAUCAACUCCUGAUAGAGAAAACUGUACUUAGAGACUGCAAGAGGGCGAAAAGUACCUUAGCCAUGUCAUGGAUCGACGUAAGGUGUACGAUAUGAUCCCACACUCUUGGAUAAUGGAAUAUAUGAACCUAUUUGGUAUUGCAUCGAAAGUUGAACGAUCGCUUGAGAAAAGUAUGGCGAAUUCGCGGACAGACCUGACAGCGUACGAAAGAAGUUUAGGGACUGUAGAAAUCAGGAGGGACAUGUUCCAAAGGGACUGCCUGUCCCCACUGAUCUUUGUACUGCGCUUGAAACCACUAACAUUGAUUCUGAGGAAAGCAAAAGCUGGGUAUGUAUUCAAAAGCUGCCAACAAAAAGUCAACCAUUUGUUAUUCAUGGAUGACCUCAAACUUUAUGGUAAAGAUGAAUUCCAAGUCAGUUCCCUCGUUGAUACAGUGUAUAUUUUCAGUGCUAAUAUCAUAAUGGAGUUCGGACUAAGAAAGUGUGGUGUGUUAGUCUGGGAGAGAGGCAAAAUCAAAUGUAUGGACGGGAUAACGAUACCGUCGGUGGAGGUUAUGAAGCAGAUAGAAGAUACAGGCUAAAAGUACUUGUGGAUUUUGUAAAUGGAUAAAUUGAUGGAGAAAGAAAUGAGAAAAAAUUAAGGUGGAGUACUUGCACAGACUGAGACUGAUCCUUAAGUCGAAAUUAAACUGACGGAAUAAGAUUGAAGCUGUCAACACCUGGGCGGUUUCACUCCUUAGAUAUGGAGCAGGGGUAAUCGCAUGGACAGCAGAUGAAGUAAACAGCUUAGACAGAAAGUCAAGGAAGUUGCUAACUAGAUAUGGGACACUCCACCCAAAAAGUGACACAGUCAGACUGUAUGUACCAAGAAAAAGCGGGGGAAGAGAACUUAUUGGAUGCGAACACAGCAUUAGAGCAGAAGAAAGCAACAUAGCAUGGUAUGUAAAAGAUCCCACAGAACUGUCAUUAUUGGAAGUAGGAAGGUCAGGCUUGUGUAGGAUGAAAGAUUGCAAAGAUAAAGCACUAUAUAAGAAAUUGAAAACGAAUGAAACUGAAAAUAGGUGGGUAAAGAAAAGAAUGCAUAGACAAUUCCAUAGAGAUGUUGAAGACAGACAGAAAAAAAGAUGGCUCUGGAUGACUAAACACGAUUUAAAACUGGAACGGAGGCUCUAAACUGUGCUUCUCAAGAUCAAGCAUUAAGAACCAAUUACAUCAAAUACAGAAUAGACAACACAUCAGAAAGUGAUAAGCGCAGAAAUUUUGGACAAAAUGGUGAAACCGUAUGGCAUAUUAACAGUCAAUGAACGCCACUAGCCCAGAAGGAAUAUAAGAGACGUCAUGACAAUAUAGCAUUGGACACUUUGCAACAAGUAUGGACUUGACAGAGCAAAAAUUGGUACGAACAUAAACCCGAAGGCAUCAUCGAAAAUGAUAAUACAAAGAUCCUAUGGGAUUUUAUGAUUCAGUGCGACCAUGAGAUAGAGAAUACCAAACGAGACAUAGUGUUAGUUGAGAAGGAAACGAUGCUGGAUCAUAGAUAUAGCAUGCCCAGCUGACAACAAAGUAUGCGAUAAGGAAGAAAGGGAAGUCGAGAGAUUUGACAGGUUAGCUUGGGAAGUUAAGCAGUUGUGGUCGAUGAAAAUGUUGGUAGUAGUACCAAUAAUUGUCGGAGCCCUGGGGACAGUGAGUAAAAUUCAUGAGAAGUACAUGGAACAAAUAGGGGCUGCUAUAAGGGUGGAGCACUUGCAGAAAGCAGCACAGCUUGGAACCGCUCGAAUACUCCGGAUGGUGCUCGAAAAAUAAGGGGAGCUACCUUAGUUCACUGGUAGUGAACAGCUGACACCGUAGUACAUCUCCAGUGUUAGAAUCUGUGCAAAGUCAAUAAAAUAAUGAUGAUGAUAAUAAUAAUAACAACAGCAACAGCAACAACAACUGACUGGAACAUGUACAUGUUUUUGUCUUGAUAUAAAAGAUGGGAUAUAGCAAAUAUUCUGCUCAAUACCGCAGAUUUGCUUGUCACUUGUUUGACCUUAACUAGUUGAGCAUGUCCCUGGUAGCUGAUGAUAUGUAAAUCUCUGAUCACAAGCAGAAAUAGUUGGAGAGUAUCAUAGUCAUGUAUUGAGAGGGAUUCUUUGGAGUUUGAAUAAUUCAACUCUGGAACCAUGGGUGUUCCAUCCAACACCCUUAAACCACUUUUAUUCAGGGACCUUUUGAGCGGUAUGGGCUACUCGGCCUUAAGAAAAUUCUAAAUGGGAUCCACUUGCAAGGUCAUUUGCUGUUUAUCUUGAUAUGAGAUCACUAUGUUACGCACAUAUGGUUGUGAUGCAUAUGCCUGGUCUACCCUUAUCAGACGGGUAGCCAUGAUGGGUGUACUAGGCUUCGUAUAUUUUAUCGCAGUGUCACUUUGAUGGCAUGUGCUACUCUCUCACCCAAUGACAAUAAUAAUAAUAAUAAUAAUAAUGAUAAUAAUAAUAGAACUGGUAGUUGUAGUGGUAGUGGUUGUGGUAGUAGUGGUAGUGGUAGUAGCAUUAUUAUUAUUAUUCAGUAGUUUAUUAUUAUUAUUAUUAUUAUUAUCAUUAUUAUUAUUAUUAGUAGUAGUAGUAGCAGCAGCAGCAGCAGCAGUAGUAGUAGUAGUAGUAGUAGUAGCAGCAGCAGCAGUAGUAGUAGUAGUAGCAGCAGUAGCAGCAGUAGUGGUAGUAGACGUAGUUGUUUAUUUCUACUUUUAACAAAGGGCCAUCUGCUUAUUAAUUUCAUCGACCCCAGCAUUUUCUCGAGCACUCAACCAAAUCUGAUAACUGCUGCUUUAUGUCAUUUUUUAUUCCUUAUCGGUACAAGGUCACAUAUUUUUUCAGAGAGUCGGAUUAUUAAUUGAAUGGCAUGACCUCAGUACCUGAGUGAGGUACAUAUCAAUCAUUGCUGGAGAUAUGAAUGAAAGAGAAAGUGUACUCUGACACCAUUUUCACUAAGAAUACAAAAAGGUAUAUCACAUUCAGUCCGAUUUAGUACUGUUCCUAAUUUUCCACCACCGUGACAAUAAUAACGAUAAUAAUAAUAACGAUAAUAAUAAUAACCAAAAAGAAAAUGUACGUAGUAACUUGUAAAAUGAAAAUGUGCAUAACUUGUAUAAAGAAAAUACAUGGGUGAUAAUAGGAAUGCUAGGCAUAGAAAAUAUUUUGAAAAACAAAGACGUAAAACACAUGCCAAGGUCUAUAACUCGACAUGUCAAAAAAGAACAAAAGCACUGCUACACGCAGCUUACGUCCUACGCAAUAUGUAUUCAAUUCAAUAGCAACUCUUUCUGCACAUUUCACACAAGGCAUUCUCUACGCAGCUAUCACUCAAUAAAUAACUUGUAAAAUAUAUACAUUUCACAAUCACCACUUAUAAAUAAAAGUAGAGAGUGCUGAUCAAAAACCUAAAUACACUGCUAAAAUAAAGUUUUAUAAUGUAAUUGAUAAAGUAGAUAAGUAUCAAUGUUAAACUCCUUUCUAAAUGGUAUAACACUCCUUUUUCCCUUCUAUGCAGCAGUAAUGCCGUUAUGUAUACAUUCGAUCAAGAUUUUGCAAUAAACUGGUCUUAACUAUUUUACCCAAAUUUGCAGUAUCCUCUUCUUUAAAUUCGUUCUUCUAGCAGUUGGAAAACACGACUUUCAAGUCUUACUCUUUCCACUUCGAAUGGUUACCGCCAGAGGGACGAAGGAAGGAUGAGUGAGACGUCUUAAUGCCCGAUGUACAGGGCAACUGUACUGGGGUCUAAGUCUAAGACUAAAACUCCUUUAAAGGUUUUUCCAUCACGCUUAGUAUUUGUUAUUUUAGGACAUCUUGCCACAAAGUGCGACCUAGUGGCUUCGAUUCACGGACUGGGCGGUGCGCUGUGCUCAUGAACAAAACACUUAAUUUAUCCAGUUGCAGGUGAGUAACUCCAGGACAGACAGACGCCUUGUCCAAGGGGAAAGUUGUGAUCUCGGUCACUUACACAGCAUGGAAACAGGGUAACCGACCCCUAUGAGUAGUGGGACUCGAGACAAUAAUGCUCAGAAGCUACGUUGUCAAUGAAUUCAAGUCUACCUGCAAUCGACGUCUCAUUGUUUUGGUGGCGCGUUCUACUAUUGUUGGCCACUGUUCUUCCAUGGAACUAUAAGAUGUAAAUGGAUAUACUACGCAGAGACGAUGAAUCAUAAGGUUAGUUUGAAACGCUGUGAUCGAGAUUCUAAUCUGCCGAAUUCUAUAAUUUGUUGAAAAGUCACCAAUCAAUCAAUCAGUCAAUCAAUCACCAUAUAUAUACUGAAGCCGUCAGUAAAAAAAUGCGGAAGACCCUGCUGUGGGAUAUGCGUCAAUUUAAUUGAGGGAUCAGAGUUCUCCUUCAAACAGGGACAACGUUUCACAGUGAAAAGUAGCUUCACAUGAGCUUCGGGGAACCUGAUAUAUGCACUAACCUGCUUUGAGUGUCAAGAGCAAUACAUAGACCAAACAAAAACAGUCUACGUGAAAGGAUGGCUCUGCAUAGAUCCCAGAUCCCAGAUCAACAUUCCCCAAAACAGAAAAAUAGCAUUUAACCAACACAUCGAUAUUUGCGCCAAUAACAAAAAUCUAAGUUUCAGAAUUUUUCUCCUCUACCAAUUCAGGGACGAUACAACCUGCAGCUAACGAAUUAGUAAAGAAACUCUCUUUAUUACAAAAUACAAACCCCUUUUGAACGCACAAACGACUUAUCCACUACGGCCUUCGAAUAACUCAAACACGCGCAAAUUUUACAAAUGAUACAUUCAAGAGACAUCCAAGAAUUCAUUAAAAACAGUCUCAAUCACUGCUAUAAUACACAACGAUCCACAUUUAGGUCACUUGACCAUUUUACAUCCUACUACUAUCAUACCAUCCCGCAUUCCCUUAUCAUUAUCUCUUCUUCUCUUUCUCCUUCUUCUUCUUCGUCUUCUUCCUCUCCGCCACCCUCCUUCUUUACUUUACUACUAGUGCAAUAUUAUAAACAAUACAGUCAAAAGAGAUGUCUCAAGAAUUCAAUCACUACUACCAUCCACAGAAAGUCACUUUCAGAGCACUUGACCAUUUAUCAUCCUACUACUAUCAUAGCAAACCCCGCAUUAUUCUCCUCCUCCUCCGUCUUCUUCUUCUUCUUCUUCUUCUUCUUCUUCUUCUUCUUCUUCUUCUUCUUCUUCUUCUUCUUCUUCUUCUUCUUCUUCUUCUUCUUCUUCUUCUUCUUCUUCUUCUAUACGAGAAUUUAUCAUUAAUCACGACAAUUGUUUCUACACAUCUAGCACCGAUCCUUCACGGGCGGGGCACUCAAUAACUGGUUCCUUUACUUGUUUCAGUUAUUAGACUGCGGCCAUGCUGGGGUACUGCUUUGAAGAAUUUUAGCCGAACGAAUCAACCCUAGUACUCAUACUUUUUUUAAAGCAUGAUACUUACUCUAUCAGUCACAUUUGUCGAACCGCUAAGCUACGGUGACCUAAACACACCAUUACUGAUUAUCAAGCGGUGGUGGAGGACAAAGACAGACAUAACACAGCUUGUACAUGCAAUAUUACUAUUUUCUCUUUUAUUACUACCAGCACCGCCCACUCAACAAUUACUACCCCCAUCACACAACCACACCACUACCAUUGCUACCGCCACUACUGCCAUCGCCCGACCACUGUCGUCAUUCACUCCCACCAUCACCACCACAACUACCACCAGCAUUACCACUACUCCCCACCACCAUAACAGCGGGAAUCCCAUUCUGAAGUAAACAUAAAAAUACGCUGAAUGGUUCUUUUGUUCAAUAACAUGUGGCGUUCUUACCUUAUUUAUUCGCUGACGUAUUCACUGUUUCAUUCAUAGAUUUCAUUUCCAUUCAUUCAUAACAUUCCAUUCUGUUUCACACAAACAACCAGCCAACCAACCAACCAACCGACCGACCGACCAAACAUCGGAGCAGCAAACUCUCAAACUUUAAAAAAAAUUCCAGGUAUGCCUAUGUGGUUAAGAAGCUUGGGCAUGUGACUUCUACAACCACAGGCCAAUCAAUGCCUUGGGAACGAAUUUGAUUGACGGAAACCGUACAGAAGCCUGUCGUUUGUAUGUGCUUAUGUGUGUGUGUUUAUAUGUGCGUAUAUAUAUAUAUAUAUAUAUAUAUAUAUAUAUAUAUAUAUAUAUAUAUAUAUAUAUAUAUAUAUAUAUAUAUAUAUAUAUAUAUAUAUAUAUAUAUGUAUGUAUUUAUAUAUGUAUAUAUAUAUAUAAAUAGGUGAAUGAAUUAUCCUAUGUUUAUAGUCAUAUAUAUAUAUAUAUAUAUAUAUAUAUAUAUAUAUAUAUAUAUAUAUAUAUAUAUAUAUAUAUAUAUAUAUAUAUAUAUAUAUAUAUGUAUAUAUAUAUAUGUAUUUAUAUUGUGUAUAUAUAUAUAUAUAUGUAUAUAUAUAUGUAUGUAUGUAUGGAUAUAUAUAUAUAUAUAUAUAUGUAUAUAUCUGCAUAUGUGUGUGUCAUCGUGUCCAUGUUUGUCCUCGCUACGGCAGGAAAGGAAAUACUGGAGGUUGUAAAUGAGUGCGCGCCAGGGAAGGAGUUUAGACCGAAGAAAGGUUAUGAGAGGAGGUGAGACGUGUGGGGAGGGACGACGUGAAUCUGGCUGCACCCAAGAACAGAAACCAUUAUACGUAGCAGGGGUAGGAAAAGUAGAGGAAGAAACAGCGCGCAAAUAGAUCAGGGGCUGGCGAGUGCCCGCGAGUGACUUUAUGUCAGUCAGUCGUAUUUUCUUUCUCUGGAUGCGGUCAGGGAUGCUUGUAUGUACAUUCGUAGCAUCAUCACAGGUGUGAGAUUAAUACUUCAUAGGAUCUCAUCGGAGCUUUGAAGAGUAUCAAUAAUUGUUAAAAAAGGCAAAGUUACCUUCUCGAGUCAUGUCGACUCAUAAGAGCCGGUUUCCUGGUUUCAGUGGCAUAUAAAUUCCCCUCCUGGACGGGACGCCGGUCUUUCGCAAGAUUAUUAAUUUUUGCCAGCUGAGAGGUUUGGAGCAACGUGAAAUGAAGUGUUUUGCUCAAGAACACAAUCGCAUUGCCCGGCCCAGGAAUCGAAACCACAAUCUUAAGAUCUUGUGUCCAACACCCUAAUCACUAAGCCACGCGCCUGCAAACCAAUAAUUGUCGGAGCUGGCAGAAUCGUAAUUAUGUCAGACAAAAUGCUGAACGGCAUUUGUUCCAGCCCUUUACCUUCUGAUUUCAAAUACCAGUAAGGUCAACUUUGCCUUUCGUUGUUUCAGGAUCAAUAAAAAUAAUGGACCAAUCAGCUACUGGCGUUGAAGUAAUCGACUAGCCCCCUCCUGUAAAAAUUUCUGGUCUGGAAUCCUGCAACGGACAGGCUUUCCGUCCACAAGGAAUGUUGUGGUUGCUUUUAAGCCAUAUAAACCGGGUAUCUGGCCUUAUAAGUCCUAGAACUCAACAAGAAUGUAUCUUUUGGUUUUGAAGAGAAGGGCCGCUGGGAUUCGAUCCUAGGAAGUGCUUUCGCCAUGAGAGAUCGUCAGUGAUAGUGAGGCCCAACUAUUGAAGUGAUUGUGAAGGCUUCUAGUUGUGUACUACUCAGGAAUAAGGGGCGAGGGCAGUGAAGUUUUCUUGAUAUGAGUAACAUUAUUGUUUCUGUCCUCUGAGGGAUGAUAUAGUUGUAAAGUCUAUAUACAAUGCUAUCCGAAGGAAGGGUUGGCAUGACGUGUUCGUCGAGGUUGAAUCAGGACCAGUUUGCAUUCAUGCCUUUAAUAACAAGGAAUACUGGUGGAACACUCCAAUAAAAACAGAAAUUCGGUUCUAACAUAACAGAUAUGAUAUUUUUCUGUAGGACAGAAAACAAAAGUCAUGCACUGUUGUAGAGGGCAACUGUUUAACGAAUGUAAAUGUACUAUCAAAAGUUCAAGAAAAUGACAACAUUUAUGGUGAAUUAAUGCAGCUCUUGUAAACGGACCAUAAUAUUUUGUUUGUAUCUUUCCUCAUAGGUGUGCAUUAGGCUCUGUACCUACAAAUUUACACAAAAACCUUGAAGUGCUAGAUUUUUCAAGGAACGACCAAGAGACACUGACGCAGAUUCAACAAAUUUAAUCAAUUAACAGCACAGUGAAUAUUUGUAAGACAUUUCAAAGAUUUCCCAUCUGAGAUGUACACACUCAGCAUGGACAGCUCAACCAACACACCAACUCAGCAACAUAUUUAUAAACAGUGGAAGACUCUGAACUCAAAAAGUCAUGUUGCUUUAUUGGCGCUGGCUUGAAGUCUCUUAAGAAGAAUUAAAAGAAAAACAGAAAUAUAUUGUAUAAUCAUAAUAUAUGUUAUGUAUCAUAUAUAUAUAUAUAUAUAUAACUUAACUUAGAAAGGUUUUGGCCAGUAUUGGCCCAGGUCAUGUCUAACUUAAUAGCACCACCUGGCGAAGUCUUUCAAUCAGGAUUUGGGCACCAAGGCCCAUUCGAGCAGAGAGUUAUUGUUUGCGGAGAUAUAUCCGAGUGUGGGUGGUUUGUCCGGGACUGUUUGAAGGAAUUUGUCCAAAGUCUUCUUGAAUUCUGUGUGGUCAGUUUCUGUUUUGACGUGUCCUGGUGUAAUGUUGAAGAGAGCGGGUCCAAUUGAGGUGAAAUAAUUGAGCCGUAUUGUUGUUAUGAGAUGCGAUUUAGAUUUUUGUUGUGGACGGAUAGCACGUGGUCCAAGCCUUGGAUGUAUUUUGAAGGUGAUGCCAACAUCAUUUGGACAGUGCUGAUGGAAUAUUUUCCACAUCAUACAGAUAAUGUUGCGUUCACGGCGUCGUUGGAGUGAAUACAGUUUCAGCUUUUGGAGUGAAUACAGUUUCAGCUUUUCUAGUCGACCCCAGUAGUCGAGGUCUCUCUCUCUCAGUAGUCGAGGUCUAUAUAUAUAUAUAUAUAUAUAUAUAUAUAUAUAUAUAUAUAUAUUGGAAGGUUUGGAGAUGAUGUACAGGUAUUAUAUAUUAGGAGAAAUGAGGUAAUCAGAAGAUCGGAUGGUUUAUAUUUACAGAUAUUUAUUUAUAUAUUACAUUUUUUACAUAUAUAUCAUAUCAAAUUGAUACACUCUUUGCAAACAUUAGCGCAAACAUUAUUUUCAAAUCAAAAUAAGUUCCUUCGGAACUUAUUUUGAUUUGAAAACCCCACUAGAAUGGGAGAAAGCGCUAUGUUUGCAAAGAGUGUAUCAAUUUGAUAUGAUAUAUAUGUAAAAAAUGUAAUAUAUAAAUAAAUAUCUGUAAAUAUAAACCAUCCGAUCUUCUGAUUACCUCAUUUCUUCUAAUAUAUAUAUAUACAUAUAUAUAUAUAUAUAUACAUAUAUAUACAUAUAUAUACAUACAUAUAUACACAUACAUAUAUAUAUAUACAUGCACACACACGCACGCACACAUACAUACAUAUAUAUAUAUAUAUUAUAUUAAAUUAGAGAUGAAACCACUAUUAGGCAAGUCAAACAGUGAAAAACAUAAGCCAAUACAUAAAAUUAAUUUAAAAAUAUAAAAGUUAAAAAUAAAAAAUUAUUUAAAUAAUUUAAACUUAUAAAUUUUAUAUAUAUAUACAAAUAUAUAUAUAUAUAUGUAUGUAUGUAUAUUUUUAUAUUUAUAUAUUAUUUAUUUAAUUAAUUAAUUAAUCAAUUAAUUAAUUUAUUUAUUAUUUUUUUUUUAAAUAUUAAAAGUAUUAAAAGUUUAAUAAAAGAUAAAGAGUAUAUAUAACAACGUUAAGUUGUAAGAUACUGCACGAGUGGAAAUAUAUAUGAAAGAAGGUUUGAAAAUAUAAUUUUAAAGCUGUUUAUUCAUUUGACCGGUUUCACUUUUUUAGAAAAAGAUUGUCAAAAGUAAAAUGUAAAACUUUAUAUAAGCUUUGUUGUGUUAAAGACUGGUUGUCACAAAAAUAUUACAAUACAUAUAUACACUCUUUGAUGAUAAUACUGUGUAUGUAUAUAUAUACUACCAAACAAACAUGAUUUGUAUUGAGCUCCUAAUACAUUUUGUUGAAUAUUUUCUUAAAUGCCUUCAUUGUAAACUGUUUUUAACAUUUUUUUUAUUAUUAUUAUCAAAGAAUGUAUAUAUGUAUUUUAUAACUUUUGUGACAACCAGUCCUUAACACAACAAAACUUAUACAAAGCUUUACAUUUUACUUUUGACAAUCUUUUUCUAAAAAAGUGAAACCAGUCAAAUGAAUAAACAUCUUUAAAAUUGCAUUUUCAAACCUUCUUUCAUAUAUAUAUAUAAGCGCAGGUGAAGCUGUGUGGUAAGAAGCUUGCUUCUCAACCACUUGGUUUUGGGUUCAGUCCCACUGCGUGGCACCUUGGGCAAGUGUCUUCUUCUAUAGUCUCAGGUCCACCACAGCCUUGUGAGUGGAUUUGGUAGACGGAAACCGAAAUGAAGCCCAUCAUAUAUAUGUAUAUGCUUAAGUGUGUGUGUCUGUGUCUGUCUCCCCAUCAUCGCUUGACAACUGAUGUUGGUGUGUUUACACCCCGUAACCCUGGCGGUGCGGCAAAAGAGACCGAUAGAAUAAAUACUAGUCUUACAAAGAAUAAGUCCUGGGGUCGAUUUGUUCGAUUAAAGGCCGUGCCCCAGCAUGGCUGCAGUCAAAUAACUCAAACAAGUAAAAGAAUAUAAUAUAUAUAUAUAUAUAUAUAUAUAUAUAUAUAAUGUACAUUAUAUAUAUAUAUAUAUAUAUAUAUAUAUAUAUAUAUAUAUAUAUAUAUAUAUAUAUAUAUAUAUAUAUACAUAUAAUGUACGGACCGGGCUGCGUGUUGUGUUCUUGAGCAAGGCACUUUAUUUCACGUUGCUCCAGUUCACUCAGCUGUAGAAAUGAGUUGCGACGUCACUGGUGCCAAGCUGUAUCGACCUUUGACUUUCCCUUGGAUAACACUGGUGGCGUGGAGAGGGGAGGCUGGUAUGCAUGGGCGACGGCUGGUCUUCCAUAAACAACCUUGCCCGGACUUGUGUCUAGGAGGGUAACUUUCUAGGUGCAAUCCCAUGGUCAUUCAUGACCGAAGGGGGUCUUUACCCUUUACAUUAUGUGUAUAAAUGCACACACAUGCACACAUAUACACAUGUACACGUACAUACAUACAUAUAUAUAUAUAUAUAUAUAUAUAUAUAUAUAUAUAUAUAUAUAUAUAUAUAUAUAUGAGAAGAGAAAAAGAGAGAGAGAGAGAGCAAGUAAACAAAACUGUUUCUGACACAUAAUGUUGAUACAAGAUACGAAGGACUGACUAAUUUUAUACCUAUUAGGUUUUAUUUAUAUAUAUAUAUAUAUAUAUAUAUAUAUAUAUAUAUAUGUGUGUGUGUGUGUGUGUGUGCACGCAUAUAUGUGCACACAUUGUAUUUAUUCUAGUGCAGAACCAGUGAUUCGCGACAACUUACUGCUUGAAGGAAAAGAAAAAAAGAAAAAAAAAGUGGCCGCCAUGCUUUAUUUCUUACUUUUUAAAAUAUAUAAAUGCAUUAAUGAAAUUAUCUCUUACGUCACUCCUCUUCAUAUUUAUCGUGUGAGGGAAAUAUUUGCCACGAUGCUCCAAAGCUUGAGCCGAACUAAUCUAAUCUAUUUCUGCUGCUUGACAGGAGUCUGGCUUAAAUGGAUGCUCGUCGGUGGACAAUAAAUAUAGAGUUUUGUCGGGGGGAGAUCUGUCAGAAUACUUGAAGCAACAACCAUUGAAACAUUAUAACUAAAAAUAUAUCGCCGACAAAUGUUCACAGAAGAGUAACUAAUCUUUUCGAAAGUGAGAGUUAUUGAGCCUGGUCUAUUGUAAAUGUUGGUUUUUGAAUCUAGGAACACUUUAGGCAACAAAAAAGUUGUUUUUGGUUUUUAACUCACCUCCGCUCUAAUCGACCAGACGUGAAUAUUAUCAAAGAUGUUCUAACUAUGACUGUCCCUCUAUAUUUAUCUGGGUCUACAUUAUCUAAUGGAUCAUUUAUUUAGAUAUAGUUGGGCUUGAUUUAAUGAGAUUUAGCUUCUAUUUCUAUUGGGGGAAAGAUUACAUAGAACUUCUUUCUUUGGCUCUCAGCAAAGAAGUAAAACUCAAAGGAGAAACAAAUGGUGUGCAUUGGUGUGUAGCCACGAUAUGUGUAAUCACAAAACUGUCUACUCUUAUCACGUUGAUAUGUCGCCAUUUUCAGACCCUUUUAUACUCAACUCUCAUGUGAUUCAAAUUCUUAUUAAUCUCCCAGAAAUAUAGAAAUAUGAUUCUGUGACUUCGAGUCACAGAAGAUUCAGUUAUAUGUUACUAGUAAGAAUUUUUUUUAAUGCUUAGAAGUAAAUCAUAGCAUAUCAGUCGUCUUGGAAGAAUCUUGGACGUGGAAUGACAUCCGGUUUUCAUGGAGUAUAAGUGACUGAAAUUAUAACACUUUUAUUCUGGUUCGUCGCAGAGUUAACUUCCCAGUACAAAUCCACAAAUUUGUAGCGAGGGGUUCUUCGGAUUAAUCGACUACUCAGGUCUGCUAUAAGCCCUAGGACUCUUAAGGUCGGAGUUUCAUCCGGUUUUCAUGGAGUAUAAGUGACUGAAAUUAUAACACUUUUAUUCUGGUUCGUCGCAGAGUUAACUUCCCAGCUAUUCCUGGAACUUAUUUACAGACUUGAGAAACAAAAUGAAGUGUUUUGCUCAAGAACACAGCGCACCUCCCGAUUGGGGAAUCGAAACCAAGAUUUUAUCAUCGUGAGUACAACACCCAUACCACUAGGCCAUGCAACUUUUCUUGUACUUACUGAAGCUUAUUUCAUCGACCUCGGAAGGAUAAUAGGCAAAGUGAACUUUGGUGGGAUUUGAAUUCUGAACAUUAAGAGCCGAAACUAAAUACCGAAAACCAUUUGUACGACGCUCUAGCGAUUCCGUGCAUCUACCGUCUUUAGGUCAAGAAACUUUAAGAAUUGAUGGUGAUGCUUGGCCACAUGCUUCGGUGCCAGCCUGAAAGCUGCGUAAUGCGUGAUGCAAUAGAAUGGACAGUGCAAGAUACCAGAAGAGGAAAACCUAGGAUUACUUUGUCGAAAACAAUGAGGAGUGAAAGGAGAGAUAAUGUCUGGGCAGAGGCAGGAACAGAAGACAAGACGGAGGAGAAUACGCAGAGACCCUCUGGUACCAAGUUAUGUUGGAGGGACAAUCAGUAACAAUAACAAAUUGCAGAAAAUGUCUUAAUUCAUAACUAAAGCGUUUGUAGAAUUUAGAAGGCUUUCUUUAUCAUAUUCGAGGUUUUAGUCAUAGUUUUGGUUGCCGAAUUUUAUGAUGUUAAUAAGAAGCUCCAUACUUUAAAGAAAUAUGUAGCAUCGAAUUUAAGCCAUCAACGAAGUAUUUAAGUAGUAUCUAAGGAAUCAAGGAAGCUAGUGUUAUCUCAGUAUUCUCAUUUCCCACUGAUAUUGAAUCACUUGUCUUAUACUUAUUCUCAGUGCAAAGGUUCCAAUAUUUAGUGAAGUGUUUUGACGCUAAAAUAUGAAAGCUGUAAGUGAUUGAAUAAAAUACGUAGCAAUGAGAAAAAUGACUGCAGUAAGCUGGUAGGUAUAUAUUUGAAUGAAGAUGAGAUUAUAUUAAAUAAUAAAAAAACGAAAUACACUGCCUGAAUGGAGGUAAUGUAAAGCUAUAUUAGUUAUCUUUCCUUUUCAUUUCGUCUCGAUGCCUCAAAUUAUAGAGAAAUUAUAAGAACGGAGUAGAAGUCUUCUGGGCCACAUCACAAGCAAUAUAUAAUUGAAUCAUGUAUUUUCAUUAUGAAUUAAUGUUUCACUUUCAUGAAGGAGUGGAGGAAUUGUAUUGAGGAAAAUAAAAUUUUCUCAGGGGUGUAAGAGGAACGUGAAGUGAAAUGCUUUGAUUAAAACUUGAAGCGACAACGCUUACUUGGCACACGGAAAGCUGACAUCUCGUUGUGCUGCAUUUGCCAUUAUCGUGCUUUAUACAUUUGUCUUUUAAUUGUCUCAGUCACUGGAGUGCGGCCAUGCUGGAGCACCGCCUUGAAAUGUUUAGUCGAACAAAUUGACUCCGGAACUUUUUAAUUAAAAUUGGUACUUAUUCAAUCUGUAAUUUUUUUUUGCCGAUCCGCUAAUGUUUCGGGGACGUAAACAAGCCAACACCGGUCGUCAAACGAUGAGAGAGAACAAACACAAAGACACACACAACAAACAGAUACACGCUCACAUAUGAAAGGCUUCCAUACAGUUUCCAUCAACCAAAUUCCCUCACAAGGUAUUCAUUGGCCCGGAGUUAUGGUGAAGACUAAGGUUCCGCACAGUAAGACUGAACCCGAAUCCGCAUAGUUGCAAAACGAUCUCCUUCACCACACGGCCACGCUUGCGCUUAUUUAUAGGAGUUUUUUUUCUUCUUCACAAAGUAUGCUUGGCUCUACAUCGCAUCUCUGUUAAGUUGCUGGACUAAAUAUCUCAUAGCCUUACUGAUCAAAAUGCUUAGCGGUAUUUUGUCUGCCGUCACGUUCUGAGUUUAAAUUCCGCCCAGGUCGACUUCGCCUUUCAUCCUUUCGGGGUCGAUUAAAUAAGUACCAGGGGUCGAUAUAAUCGACUUAAUCCGUUUGUCUGUCCUUGUUUGUACUCUUUGUGUUUAGCCCCUUGUGGGUAGUAAAGAAAUAGAAAUAGGUAUUUCGUUGGACUUUUCAUUCUGAGUUCAAAUUCUGCCGAGGUUGACUUCGCCUGUCAUCAUUUCGAGGUCGAUGAAAUAAGUAUCAGUUGCGUACUGGUGUCGAUGCCAUCGAUUUACUUCCUCUCCCGAAAUUGCUGGCCUUGUGCCAAAAUUUGUAACCGAUAUUUAGUACUAAUAUGGCGGCGAGCAGGCAGAAUCGCAACUGCGCCGGAAAAAUUGCUUAGCGGCAUUUCUUCUGAUAUUACGUUCUGAGUUUAACUGCCGCUGGGACUAUCUUUGCUUUUCAUUAUUUGGGGUCGAUAAAAUAAGUACCAGUUAAGCACUGGGGUAGAUGUAAUUGACUUAUCCUCUCCCACAAACUUGCUGAUCUUAUGCCAAAAUUUAUAACUAAUAUUUGGUUAUAGUCUCUAGUUUUAAGUAAGCCUCAAGCGAAGUCUUUUGUAAAAUAUUAGCAGCAAAAAAUGCUAGCAUUUUUUAUUCAGAAAAUUCAAGAUUUUGUAGAUCUGAAAGAAAUCAAUAAUAUAUACUAACUCUGAAAGUGAAAUAUUUUCUUUUAGAAUAGACAGAACAGUGUAUCGUAAGUUUUAUUUUUUUAAAAACUAGAAUCAUUGUUUAAUAAACAAUACAACAGAAGAUUUAGCUGAAGAAAUUAAAAGAAGAUUUAGUUGAAGAAAUAUUGCUUAGAUGACGGAGAUGGAAUCUAAGUAACUAUCUUCUAGAUUCCUUAGUUUCCAUUUCAUUCUUUCGUAUUUUUAGGAUGUUUUCAUUCCUCUUAGAGCGAUAAACUAGAUGCUAGAUUCAUAUGGAAGAGAUGCAAUGCGCUAAUCCUUUAUCCUAAUUCCGUAUUUUAUCUUUUAUCCUUCACUUGUUUCAGUCAUUUGACUGUGGCCAUGCUGGGGCACUGCCUUCAAGAUAUUUUUUCGAUUGAAUCGACUCCAGGACUGUUUAUUUUUUUUUAAAGUCUGGUACUCUGGUACCUAUUCUAUCCGUCUCUUUUGCCGAACCGCUAAGUUACGGUGACGUAAACACGCCAGCACCGGUUGUCAAGUGGUGGUAGGGAGAAACACACAGAAACGCGCGCACACACAUAUACAUACACACACACAACCCACAAGUUUCUUUCAGUUUCCACCUACCAAAUCCCCUCACAAGGCCUUGGUCAGUUCGAGGCUAGAGUAGAAGACACUUGUCCUUCCAAUGAUUACAGUGUAGAAAUGAGGUAGAGGUCGAAUUUCUUUUCUAUCAAUGAAAGACAUUUGCAUCACUAAAUCCCAUUUUCUCUCCACAAAAAAAAAAAAAACAGAACAAAAAUACACAAGGCUUUUGUCUAUCCUGGAAUCAAGUGAUAGAGAUUAUAACAUAUUUCCGGCGAACCUAUCCUAUCAUUCCUUAUCGAUUCUGACAUGUAAGCAAUUCACGCGCCUUGAACAAGGCAUUAACUCACUCAGUCUCGAAUAUUCUCGUCUACAAACCCCUGUUAUUGUUGUUGUUGCUGCUGUUUGGUGUGAGUAAGCUGAUUUUAGAGGAGAAAGAGCAACGUCCAUGAACUUUUGCCGAGCAAUCCAAAUUCCGGUGGGUUGGAGGAGGGAAAGCGAAUGCUUUACUCACGGAUUAAAGUUAUAGAAAUAGGGAGCAACGCACAUCAAGAUAUCGAGAUAGGCACAAACUGGAGACUGGUCUGAAUUCUUAGCAGCAAAUUCUGGUCUACUAAAAGCCCCUAAGGUUCAGUGAAUGGUGUUAAAUCGAACAAUGCAUUAAAUCAGCCAUUCGAAAACAUGAUUGUAUCGCAGUAUAGGAAACAGAAUUAUUUCUGUGAUUAGAAAAAGAAACAAUAACAAUAAAAAACAAACAAACAAACAAAAAAAAAAACAAAGCGAAAUCAACCAUUUCUUCUCGUUUACCAUUUUGUUUCCGUGGUGCAAAUAUUUGGUGUUGAUUAUAUUCUUGUAGGUUUGGCACAUAUACCAAGCCUGAAUAUCUGCUUUCUGCUUGGAAGCUUUUAGUCAUAAUCAAUAUUACUGCAAACCUAUUCGUCCGUUCAAUGCUAUAGAUUUCUCAAAAUAUCCAAGAUAAUCAAAUAUGCCAUCAGUCCUAUGAUAUCAUAAAGUCGAGUCCCAAAAAUAUUUCGUUUUGUAAACUAUUCAUAUUCGUUAUAAGGUUUCUUCUACAUGUUAUAAAUGCAACGAACACCUAUAUUGCUUGGAAGACAUACAUUUAAAUAAAUUCCUUCGCUUUUUCCAUCCUAUAUUUAUCAAUAUCUUUAUCUAUGUCUUCUUAUUCACUAACUUUGCAUUAUUUUUCCUUAUCUUUGAAAAGUUUCAAAAUUCAUUCCUAAUACAUGGCAGUCUCUUUCGUCACUAAUGGAAGCGGGGAAAAAUACGUCUUCACCGUUUUAUUAUCAGAAUCUGAAGGUAACGAAGUUAUUCAUGCAGCCAGAAAAAUUUAUAUUUCUCAAUAUCUGUUCCACUGCAUAAAAUGAGUCCAUUAUCAAGUGACAUUUUCAUAUGUAUAUAUGCAUACAUACAUACAUACAUACAUACAUACAUACAUACAUACAUACAUACAUAUAUAUAUGUAUGUAUGUAUGUAUGUAUGUAUGUAUGUAUGUAUAUAUAUAUAUAUAUAUAUAUAUAUAUACAUAUAUAAUAUAUACAUGUAUAUAUAUAUAUGUAUAUAUAUAUAUAUAUAUGUAUGCAUAUAUAUACAUAUGUAUAUAAAUAUAUAUAUAUAUAUAUUUAUGUGUUUGUAUUAUGUAUGUAUAUAUGUAUAUAUAUAUAUUAUAUAUAUAUAUAUAUAUAUAUAUAUAUAUAUAUAUAUAUACUCAUAUAAUGCAUACGCACAUACAUACAAAACAUUGUUUUGACACCUGAGAUAUUAAUUAAAUGGCAUACACACGCGCGCACACACAAGCACACCUGUAUAUGUAUAUGCAGUUUGUGCAUCUGCGUGUUUGAGUGUGUAUGUGCAAAUUGUAUGUAUGUACAUAUGUAUGUAUGUAUGUAUGUAUGUAUGUAUGUAUGUAUGUAUGUAUGUAUGUAUGUAUGUAUGUAUGUAUGUAUGUAUGUAUAUAUCUAUAUAUAUAUCUAUAUAUCUAUCUAUAUAUAUAUAUAUAUAUAUAUAUAUAAGUGAAAUAAACAACAGAGAUGCUUUGCUCCACGCAGAAACUUGCAGAAGCUACUCAGAAAUCUUGCAAGCCCUUUGAAAUCCUUUGUAAUUCUGGAAACCCUUCCAUAUCGUCAGCUGGUGUCUCAGGGCUAGAAGUGUUUUGCCCUGUAGCUUGAACGCUUCGCCUGAAUGGGGCAGCAAGGACUGAACUAAUCUUCAUCUACAGAAGAGUUCUACUUGCGGUCUCUUAUCAGUCACAGCCAUCUUGAUCUAGUUUCAGUUGCCGUGCCUAUCUCCUUGAUGGCUUUCUUCAGUUGUCUGGGUUCCAGAUCUAUCUUCUGUCGGAUAUAUACAAUCAGAUAUAUAAUAAUCGAUUAAGGAAAUAGAAGAUGGUUUCGGUAUUAGUCUUUAUUGUGUGCGACAAUUGUUUCGGCCGAUCCUGCGAUUGUUCCUUAUGGGUGGGAUUUUAUGCAUCGUAUUGUGUUGCAUCAAAUUUGAGGUUUGGGUCACACCAGGUACAUUCAUACAUAAAGUUGUGUCUCGCUAAACAUUUUGAGUUCAAGCGGUCAUGUUGUUAUUUGCUCGCUUCAGUUAGGAAAUGAAGCAUUGCCACAAUUGUCCUUAUCAUUCACACAUUACCGUGUGCGAAUAAUAUCCUUAAGGUCAACAUUUACUCACUCAUGACCACUUCUAGGGUUUAUCACUAACUCAGUUUUUAACCAAAUAAGUUGAUGUUUACAUUUUUUCAGCGACACAAUUUGAAAAUUGCUUUGGCAAAAAAAAAGUUUCAGUAAAAAUAUGUGAGGUCAAAAACGGGAGAGUAACGUUUGAAAUCGACUUUCAGUUCAAAUAUAUUUUUUAAAAAUAGAGCUAUAUUUUAUUCUGGCUUAUAUGAUAGAUCUCAACGACAGGAAUCUAUCCAUGUUACUUAUAUGCAAAAAUAUUCAGCAGAAAAAAGUAAUGGGAUAAAAAACCGUCGAAAAAAGGGAGAUUGACGUCGGAAAUCUACUUUGACUCCAUAUAUUACGCUUCUUUCAAAAGAAAAUUACAAAUUUAACUUUCUCAUAAAUCUCGACUACAGGAAUACCAUGAUGUUAAUUAUAUAUAAAAAAUUAAAAUUAAGAACUGCUGGGGCCAAAUGUGCCGAAAACAGUGGUAACACCUAAAAUCUAAUUCAGAAACUAAACAUUUUGUUUUUGUUUUGCUCAUUUGAUAGAAUACAUCCAGACGAGUGUCGUGAUGCUAAUCUUUUCAAAGAAGAUUCAAAAUGAAAAAACUUAUUAUAUAAGCUAAAUGAGCCACAAGGAUGUAAAACAAUUUUCAAGUAAUAUUAUUACUUUUCCAUUGUAAUAUUAAAUAUUGAUAACUAAUAAUAGUAAAUAAUUAUGAAUAUAAACUUAUAAACUGUAGACAAGAAAGAAAGAAAAAAUAAAAAUAUAAAGAUAUGCAGGCUAGAGUAUAUGGGGGAGAUAUAUAGAUAGGAUGAGACCUGUUAAGGAAAUAUUAGAUUGCAUGAAUGUUUAAAGCGAGGGAAGGAUACUACACUUGCUAACACGGGUUAGGAUGCGUAUAGGCCCUUACACACACAUUCACACACAAGCACUCAUAUAUAUAUAUAUAUAUAUAUAUAUAUAUAUAUAUAUAUAUAUAUAUAUAUAUAUAUAUAUAUAUAUAUAUAUAUGCAGAGCGGAGUAAAUGAUUUGACCGCAAAAUACCGAAAGCACAAGUUGCCCUGGGUUAGACAUAUCGCAAGGUUCAUAGACAACAGGUGGACCCGCACAGGUGCCGAAGAGUGUUCAAAAGAUUGAAAAAGGCUCCUUGGAAGACCUCCACAACGAUGGGAAGACAUUUUAGUUAAGUAAUUUGGGUCAAGCUGGGAAAGAAUGGUGCAAUCAAGACAAGAUUGGAAGAGAAUUGUGAUCAGUGGUGUAUAACAACAUCUGAUGGUCUGUUCGGUACUGUGCUUCAAGUAUUAGGUUGAUGCUUCUUGUUCCUGGACUGCAAAUGUGCACCUUUCGAAGUGAUAGACGCCUUUGAUUAACAGCGUUUCUGUCAUCCCGGAGCUUUCUGCUUGCAUAUCCAUACAUGGUCUUCUGCCGAUACGCAUUCAUCUUUUCAUAUGUUGCGUUAGAAUCGAGCAACUUCUUUGGGAAUGCAUUGAAGGUUAUCAGACAGGGAAUGUUUCUCGAGGUGCUGCUUUCCAUGUCCCAUGAUGUUAUCUGCUUUGUGUAUGCAAACUUAGUCAAAGGAUGCACUUCGAUACUUGGUGGGUAGAAGAUGUUGUCGAAAGGAUAUCAUGUGACAACCAAAAGCUGCUUUUGGUUGUCACAUCACAUCCCUUAAACCGCUGCUUUCUUAUUUUCGUUUUAGGUAGAGGUGGUCUAUUUCAAUAUUGAUGUGAAAAUUACUUGUGCUGGUCAAUAUCUUCUGGGUCUUCACACCAAUGGUUCGGAUCUCAUCAAGCAUUCAGUCAAGCAGCUCAAAUGUUGGUGUAAGUACUGGUACUGCAAGCACAUUUUGGGCCACUGUUUUAUUGAAUGCAGAGCGUUCCGAGGUUCAUCUUUUUCGUAUCCAGUUGUUAUAUUCUUUUGUGAUGUUUCCUGUUAGAGGUACCAUCGCAAGAUAUGUUUUCAUGCCCUUAUGCGCCAGUAACACUCCUCAUCAAAUAGAGUAGAAACAGUUAAGCCGAUGGUGGAGAUGCUGCUAGUCUGGUUUGUAGUUUUCAUAACUAUAAAGCAACAUUUAUUCAAUCCUGUAUAUUUUGAGAAUCUUGUAAGCUGGUUAAGAAUUUUUUCAUCUCAUACCUACUCCUGAUAUACAGUUUCAAGUCAUCCACAUAAGAACAGAGUUUAAUUUUUGCUAUUUCUGUCUCCUUGUGAGCCAAUGAGAUACUCAACAUAAAUGACAAGGGGUUUACUAGCAUUCCACAGAGGUUGGACCCCUUGGAAUAUAUCUCUACGAUAGUGUGUUUUAUCAGUGACAAUAUUAUUUCUUGUAUUUAACUUUGACGGUGACUCAAGAUAAAGUCAGAUCAGUUAUUGCGUUGAUUAUACCCUUUGGAAUUUAUGUAUGUAUGUAUGUAUGUAUGUAUGUAUGUAUGUAUGUAUGUAUGUAUGUAUGUAUGUAUGUAUGUAUGUAUGUAUGUAUGUAUGCAUGUAUGUAUGUAUGUAUGUAUGUAUGUAUGUAUAAAUUUGUGUAUGUAUGUACGUAUGUACGUAUGUAUGUAUGUUUGUAUGUAUAUGUAUGUAUGUAUGCAUGCAUGCAUGCAUGUAUGUAUGUAUGUAUGUAUGUAUGUAUGCAUGCAUGUAUGUAUUUAUGUAUGUGUGUACGUACGUAUGUAAGUAUACAUGCAUGCAUGCAUGUAUGUAUGUAUGUAUGUAUAUAUGCAUGUAUAUAUAUGCAUGCAUGUACGUAUGUACAUAUGUAUGUAUGGAUAUA